UAUCAGUACAAACCUUCAUAAGGUGAAACCGCGAACGGCUCAUUAUAACAGCUAUAAUUUACUAGACCUUGAGCAACUACUUGGAUACCUGUGGUAAUUCUAGAGCUAAUACAUGCACCGAAGUUGUUCCUUGCGGAGCAAUGCAUUUAUUUGAGCAAAACCAGGCGGCUUCGGCCGUUUCUGUUGAUUCAGAAUAACUAAGCUGAUCGUAUGGGCUUGUCCCGACGACGUGUCUUUCAAGUGUCUGCCUUAUCAACUUUCGAUGGUAGUGUACGUGACUACCAUGGUGUUGACGGGUAACGGAGGAUAAGGGUUCGACUCCGGAGAAGGGGCCUGAGAAAUGGCCACUACGUCUAAGGAUGGCAGCAGGCGCGCAAAUUACCCACUCUCGGUUCGAGGAGGUAGUGACGAAAAAUAACAAGGCCGUUCUCUUUGAGGCCGGCCAUUGGAAUGGGUACAACUUAAACCCUUUAACGAGUAUCAAUGAGAGGGCAAGUCUGGUGCCAGCAGCCGCGGUAAUUCCAGCUCUCAAAAUGCAUAGAACCAUUGCUGCGGUUAAAAAGCUCGUAGUUGGAUCUGUGCCGGCGACGUGGUCCGCCCUAACCGGCGGUACUGCGCUCGUCGGCUUUGGGCCGGUCUUCGGUCGGUCGCCUUAACUGGUGGCCGCUCGUGGCUGGCUGGUUUACUUUGAGCAAAUCAGAGUGCUCAGCACAGGCGUCUCGCCGGAAUGUUCGUGCAUGGAAUAAUAGAAAAGGAUUUCGGUCCUCUUUUAUUGGUUUUGUGGACUGAGAUAAUGGUUAACAGAGACGGACGGGGGCAUUCGUAUUGCUGCGUGAGAGGUGAAAUUCUUGGACCGCAGCAGGACGGACUACAGCG
rnacentral:rRNA from 1 species